UACAGAGGUCCCAAGCGUUGUUCGGAUUCACUGGGCGUAAAGGGUGCGUAGGCGGUCGGGUAAGUCUGAUGUGAAAUCUUCGAGCUCAACUCGGAAACUGCAUUGGAUACUAUCCGGCUUGAGGACUGGAGGGGGGACUGGAAUUCUCGGUGUAGCAGUGAAAUGCGUAGAUAUCGAGAGGAACACCAGUGGCGAAGGCGAGUCCCUGGACAGGUCCUGACGCUGAGGCACGAAAGCUAGGGGAGCAAACAGG
rnacentral:rRNA from 1 species